GGAUUAGAUACCCCACUAUGCUUAGCCCUAAACAUAAAAAAUUAUAAACAAAAUUAUUCGCCAGAGUACUACUAGCAAUAGCUUAAAACUCAAAGGACUUGGCGGUGCCUUACAUCCCUCUAGAGGAGCCUGUUCUAUAAUCGAUAAACCCCGAUCUACCUCACCAAUCUUUGCUAAAUCAGCCUAUAUACCGCCAUCUUCAGCAAACCCUAAAAAGGAAUUAAAGUAAGCACAAGUAUUAACAUAAAAACGUUAGGUCAAGGUGUAGCUUAUAGAGUGGAAAGAAAUGGGCUACAUUCCCCGACUCGGGGAACUAAAUUUUAUACGAAAACCUAUGUGAAAUCAAAAGUUAAAGGUGGAUUUAGCAGUAAAUUAAGAAUAGAGAGCUUAAUUGAAUAUGGCCAUAAGGCACGCACACACCGCCCG
rnacentral:rRNA from 1 species